GCCUCCGUGGCGUAACGGAUAAGGCAUCGGUCUCCUAAACUCGGGAUUGCGGAUUCGAAUUCCGCCGAGGGUU
rnacentral:tRNA from 1 species